CCCUUUCGGCUGAAUGCGCACGCGCGGCAAGACCUGCGCGCGCAUUCAGCCAGUCUUAUAGGAAAGCAUUUACAAUGCUUUCCUAUGGACGCUUGCGUCUUCUCACUGUGAUUUACGCCUCUAGUGGCUGUCAAUGAGCAAGAGGAUUUGGAGGCUCGAUUAACCCUAAUAUAAACAUAGCAGUUUCUCUGAAACUGCUAUGUUUAUAAAAAAAAAAAAAGGGUUAAUCCUAGAGGGACCAUUGCAGCCAGACCACUUCAUUAAGCUGAAGUGGUCUGGGUGCCUAGAGUGGUCCUUUAACUAAUGUGUGUGUGUAGUGUGCACAUACUUCAUGCACAUUAUGGAUGAAAUUAAUAUAAGGCAGCCUGGGAUAAAUUGUUCAAGGCUUCCAGUGGACUGUGUUAUAGCUGCAGCAAUGUGUACAGUUUGCUGCCAACAAAGCUCACUCUAAGUAUUAUUAAUGCAGCAAAGUAAUUCACUACGAUUCAGAGUUCACUGAAUAAUAUAGAGAGUUUCAAAUUUAUGGCCAAAGAGUCUGAAAUUAAAAAAAAAAAAAACCCUCAAAUAAUGAUUUCAGUUCAGCUAUUUUGAACCAAUAUUUAAUACUCUCCUUGCAUUCACAAUUCACACUUCAAUGAACAACGAGUUAGGAUUCCAGUUAUUGACAGUUGAUUUCAGUCAAUAACACACUUAAUUUAGUAAACUCUAAAAUUUAAAGACUUCCUCCAAAUAGAUUCAAGCGGGGUUCUGAACUGGAAUCCACCAUAUAUUUAGCUCUACUUUUUCUGAAAUGUAUAAAAGCCAACAAAUGCUUAAAAAUAUAAAAUAAAAUGUUCAAAAGUGUAGCAAGGUGGGAGUUAAAGUAACACUGAGCACCAGAAGAACUUCAUCUAAACAAAGUUGUUACAGUACUCAGAGGCCCGUGGGCACACUCUUACAUUAAGUGGUUAAAGGGACAUUAUAGUCACCCAGACCACUUCAGCUCAAUGUAGUGGUCUGGGUGCCAGGUCCCUCUAGGGUUAACCCUUUCUGAUGUAAACAUAGCACUUUCAGAUAAAAAUGCUUUCCUACGGACACUUUAAAUGCUCAUUCGGCUCCUGUGACGUCGGAUGAGG